rnacentral:rRNA from 1 species
UACGAAGGGGGCGAGCGUUGUCCGGAAUCACUGGGCGUAAAGGGCGCGUAGGCGGCCUGCUAAGUAGAGGGUGAAAUCCUGCGGCUCAACCGCAGGGCUGCCUUCUAAACUGUCAGGCUGGAGCACGGUAGAGGCAGAUGGAAUUCCCGGUGUAGCGGUGGAAUGCGUAGAGAUCGGGAAGAACACCAGUGGCGAAGGCGGUCUGCUGGGCCGUUGCUGACGCUGAGGCGCGACAGCGUGGGGGAGCAAACAGG